UACGUAGGGUGCGAGCGUUAAUCGGAAUUACUGGGCGUAAAGCGUGCGCAGGCGGUUCGUUGUGUCUGAUGUGAAAGCCCCGAGCUCAACUUGGGAAUGGCAUUGGAAACUGGCGAGCUAGAGUGUGGCAGAGGGGGGUGGAAUUCCGCGUGUAGCAGUGAAAUGCGUAGAGAUGCGGAGGAACACCGAUGGCGAAGGCAGCCCCCUGGGCUAGCACUGACGCUCAGGCACGAAAGCGUGGGGAGCAAACAGG
rnacentral:rRNA from 1 species